AGAUACCCUGGUAGUCCACACUGUAAACGAUGAUAACUCGCUGCCGGCGAUACACAGUCGGUGGCCAAGCGAAAGCGAUAAGUUAUCCACCUGGGGAGUACGACCGCAAGGUUGAAACUCAAAGGAAUUGACGGGGGCCCGCACAAGCGGAGGAACAUGUGGUUUAAUUCGAUGAUACGCGAGGAACCUUACCCGGGCUCGAACGGUGCAUGAAUAUACAAGAGAUUGUAUAGUCCUUCGGGACAUGUAUCGAGGUGCUGCAUGGUUGUCGUCAGCUCGUGCCGUGAGGUGUCGGCUUAAGUGCCAUAACGAGCGCAACCCUUGUCAUUAGUUACCAUCAGGUCAAGCUGGGGACUCUAAUGAGACUGCCACCGUAAGGUGUGAGGAAGGGGGGGAUGACGUCAAAUCAGCACGGCCCUUAUGUCCGGGGCGACACACGUGUUACAAUGGGGGGUACAGAGGGCAGCCAUCCGGCGACGGAGCGCUAAUCUCAAAAACCCUUCUCAGUUCGGAUUGGAGUCUGCAACUCGACUCCAUGAAGUUGGAUUCGC
rnacentral:rRNA from 1 species